UACCAGCACCCCGAGUUGUCGGGACGAUUAUUGGGCCUAAAGCAUCCGUAGCCUGUUCUGCAAGUCCUCCGUUAAAUCCACCUGCUCAACGGAUGGGCUGCGGAGGAUACCGCAGAGCUAGGAGGCGGGAGAGGCAAACGGUACUCAGUGGGUAGGGGUAAAAUCCAUUGAUCUACUGAAGACCACCAGUGGCGAAGGCGGUUUGCCAUGAA
rnacentral:rRNA from 1 species